rnacentral:misc_RNA from 1 species
GCAAACUUGGUCAUUUAGAGGAAGUAAAAGUCGUAACAAGGUCUCCGUUGGUGAACCAGCGGAGGGAUCAUUACCGAGUUUACAACUCCCAAACCCCUGUGAACAUACCUAUACGUUGCCUCGGCGGAUCAGCCCGCGCCCCGUAAAAAGGGACGGCCCGCCCGAGGACCCCUAAACUCUGUUUUUAGUGGAACUUCUGAGUAAAACAAACAAAUAAAUCAAAACUUUCAACAACGGAUCUCUUGGUUCUGGCAUCGAUGAAGAACGCAGC